AAACUGAGCACAGACGAGCAAGAAGAGAUGGUCACGGCUGCUCAAUGAAGCACAUGAUUAUUGGAAAAUGUUGGGAUGCUGAGUAACAAGGAUGCACUGUAAGUAAGAAGGGUGGGCUGAACAGGAGAGAGAAAAUGAAAACAGAGGACAAGCUCCCAAAACCGCAAUCGGACAAGUUUUCUUUUAAAAGGCAUCUUCUCUGCCUGCGAGACCAUCAAUAAUGGAAAAGGAUUUUUCCAGUGCUUUUUAGGCCAGAGAGAGAGAGGGAAGGAAGGAAGAAAAGAGCAAGACAAAGAGGAAGCAAGCCAGUGGAACAGUGAAUGCUGUAAUGCAAAGGUUCCUGCGACUCCAGCUUGUAGGAACAGAGUGACUUCUGCUUAAGCAUAUGUCUGUAUCACAUUCCUCACCACUCAGGAGAGUUCUGGAGACUAAAAGUCUGAAAUCAAGCUGUCAGCAGGGUCAUGCCCGCUUCCUUAGAAGGCUGUAGAGAAGAAUCCUUCUUUGCUGCUCCUGGCUUCAAGUGGCUGUCACAAUCCUUGGCUUAUAGCUGCAUCACUCCCGUUUCUGCCCCUGGCUUCACAUGGCUUCUUCCCUCUGUGUGUGCUUGUGUUUCUCCAAAUUCCCCUCGUCUUACAAAGACAUUGGUAAUUGGAUUAACACUCACCCUGAUCAGCUUAUUGAAUUUGAAUCAGCUGCUGGAUGCCGUUGUUUUUUCUUGGGAACGUAUUUAUCCCAUUGUGGGCAUGUUCCUGUCUCCAACUCUCCGGCACUUUUUCUUUGCUCUUUAUUGAGAAGUCAACUUUGUGCUGAAGAAGUUUCUGUUUUCCAUAUGAUUGAUCUUCAGGUGGUGGGGGAGCCCUCACUGAAACAGUGGUUUUAAAAAAAUUACACCCUUUCAUCUUUGGUCUCAUCUUGUGGAAGAAAGAAGAACUGAGCUAUUCUACCAACUAUUGUGAACUGUUCAAAUUUCCUCUGGGGAGAAAAACCAGUUGCUUUCAAAGCUCUGAGGAGUAUCAAAAAAUGCUCCUAGGCUAAAUACAGUAAAUAAAAGGCAAUGUGGACUUUCAAAAGACUGCUCCAGGGGCACACGAGAAAGUUUUAGCUGGUGUGAGAAUCACUGAAACAGAAACCUGGGGCAGGUGGGGGGA